rnacentral:rRNA from 1 species
UACGGAAGGCAGCAGUGGGGAAGUAUUGCACAAUGGGCGCAAGCCUGAUGCAGCCAUGCCGCGUGUAUGAAGAAGGCCUUCGGGUUGUAAAGUACUUUCAGUCGUGAAGGAAGGUGUUAAGGUUAAUAACCUUAGCAAUUGACGUUAGCGACAGAAGAAGCACCGGCUAACUCCGUGCCAGCAGCCGCGGUAAUACGGAGGGUGCGAGCGUUAAUCGGAAUUACUGGGCGUAAAGGGCACGCAGGCGGUUAAUUAAGUUGGAUGUGAAAUCCCCGGGCUUAACCUGGGAAUGGCAUUCAAGACUGGUUAGCUAGAGUCUUGUAGAGGGGGUAGAAUUCCAUGUGUAGCGGUGAAAUGCGUAGAGAUGUGGAGGAAAUACCGGUGGCGAAGGCGGCCCCUGGACAAAGACUGACGCUCAUGUGCGAAAGCGUGGGGAGCAAACAGGAUUAGAUACC